CGGCAGCUACACAUGCAGUCGAGCGGAUGAAGGGAGCUUGCUCCUGGAUUCAGCGGCGGACGGGUGAGUAAUGCCUAGGAAUCUGCCUGGUAGUGGGGGAUAACGUCCGGAAACGGGCGCUAAUACCGCAUACGUCCUGAGGGAGAAAGUGGGGGAUCUUCGGACCUCACGCUAUCAGAUGAGCCUAGGUCGGAUUAGCUAGUUGGUGGGGUAAAGGCCUACCAAGGCGACGAUCCGUAACUGGUCUGAGAGGAUGAUCAGUCACACUGGAACUGAGACACGGUCCAGACUCCUACGGGAGGCAGCAGUGGGGAAUAUUGGACAAUGGGCGAAAGCCUGAUCCAGCCAUGCCGCGUGUGUGAAGAAGGUCUUCGGAUUGUAAAGCACUUUAAGUUGGGAGGAAGGGCAGUAAGUUAAUACCUUGCUGUUUUGACGUUACCAACAGAAUAAGCACCGGCUAACUUCGUGCCAGCAGCCGCGGUAAUACGAAGGGUGCAAGCGUUAAUCGGAAUUACUGGGCGUAAAGCGCGCGUAGGUGGUUCAGCAAGUUGGAUGUGAAAUCCCCGGGCUCAACCUGGGAACUGCAUCCAAAACUACUGAGCUAGAGUACGGUAGAGGGUGGUGGAAUUUCCUGUGUAGCGGUGAAAUGCGUAGAUAUAGGAAGGAACACCAGUGGCGAAGGCGACCACCUGGACUGAUACUGACACUGAGGUGCGAAAGCGUGGGGAGCAAACAGGAUUAGAUACCCUGGUAGUCCACGCCGUAAACGAUGUCGACUAGCCGUUGGGAUCCUUGAGAUCUUAGUGGCGCAGCUAACGCGAUAAGUCGACCGCCUGGGGAGUACGGCCGCAAGGUUAAAACUCAAUGAAUUGACGGGGGCCCGCACAAGCGGUGGAGCAUGUGGGUUUAAUUCGAAGCAACGCGAAGAACCUUACCUGG
rnacentral:rRNA from 1 species